GACGAACGCUGGCGGCGGGCUUAACACAUGCAAGUCGAACGGAAAGGCCCUGCUUUUGUGGGGUGCUCGAGUGGCGAACGGGUGAGUAACACGUGAGUAACCUGCCCUUGACUUUGGGAUAACUUCAGGAAACUGGGGCUAAUACCGGAUAGGAGCUGCUGCUGCAUGGUGGGGGUUGGAAAGUUUCGGCGGUUGGGGAUGGACUCGGGGCUUAUCAGCUUGUUGGUGGGGUAGUGGCUUACCAAGGGUUUGACGGGUAGCCGGCCUGAGAGGGUGAACGGCCACCUUGGGCCUGAGAUACGGCCCAGACUCCUACGGGAGGCAGCAGUGGGGAAUAUUGCACAAUGGGCGGAAGCCUGAUGCAGCAACGCCGCGUGCGGGAUGACGGCCUUCGGGUUGUAAACCGCUUUAGCCUGUGACGAAGCGUGAGUGACGGUAAUGGGUAAAGAAGCACCGGCUAACUACGUG
rnacentral:rRNA from 1 species